rnacentral:tRNA from 1 species
GGCCGAUUGGUCAAGUGGUAAGAUCCUUGCUUUGGAUUCGUUGGAUUAUCUGCAAGAGUCCCGCGUUCGAACCGCGGAUCGGCCC